AGCUACAGAAUAACUCCAGUUUGGCCUCCGGUCACAACUGAGACUUCAGUGAUCCAGUGAUGCUGUGAUUCUCCAGGACAAGAAACAUCCUGGGAGAACAAACAUCUGCUCAGUUCCUCGUUGUUCUUAGACUGUUAACAUCUUGUUUGCCCGAGAUGUACUGAACUCUCUGCGAGCCUUCUGUUACACCUUCUAUAUCCCAACGUGAACUAUUGAACUCUCUGCAAGUCAUUUGUUACAUUUGUUUCUCCCGAUGUACUGAAUAAAAGGUGUGGUAAGCUGGGGGCUUUUAUCUUUGCCGCCCAGAGGAGCACUGAUGAGACCCAAA